CACACUUUUUCCAUUCCAACAAAUCAAAAAAACAUUUCUUCUCUUUCAAAAGAUCUAAUCACAAAUUCCAUCUUUCUCAUUUAGAAACCAAAUCAAACAAUUCUCGAAUAAAUAAGAAUUUAGUUGAGAAGAAAAAAAAAAUGGAGCAAAAUUUGCCAGUAAUAGCAAAGAAAUUCUGGAACAUAGUGCGAAUAGCUUUCUUCAUGUUGAGAAAAGGAUCUCAAAGAGAAAAUUCAUGCUCGAUUUCAACUUACUCAUGAAGCGUGGAAAAAUCGCUAGUAAAGCCGCAUUUCACAAUCUCAUGUUUCACCACGCGCACCAAUUCUCUUCAUCGUCUUCCUCAUCAGCUUCUUCUUCAACUCCUGAGUCCGUGUGUGCACGCGCUCCAUCCAGCGAGUACGAAUUCAGUUGCAGUAACAGCCCAGCGUACCCAGCUUUUCACCUUCCGUUCCACUUCAACAAGCGCGGCAAGCACCACGCUCAUCUCUUUCCGUGUGCACACGCUCCGGCCACCGCGGACGACGACGUUGUUGUGAUGAAUGCUGCUAUGAUGAAGGCUUUGGAAAUGAUUCAGAGUACUAAUGCGUCGCCGGCGAAUAAUCUGCCUGGAUUCGGAAGGACUCCGACGGUGAGGCAGUUGAGGAUUACCGACUCGCCGUUUCCGCUGAAAGAUGUUGAAGAAGAUAGUCAAGUUGAUGAGGCUGCUGAGAAAUUUAUUUCGAAAUUCUAUAGGGAUUUGAUGAGGCAAUCUUCACCUGGUGGUGCUUAAGCGCGAGCUCUCUCUGAUCUCUGGUUGCUAGUAUAUAAAUAUAUAUAUAUAUAUAUAUAUAUUUCUAUUGGGAAUUUUAUGCAUAUGGCGGAGAUCGUGGCCGAUGCAAUAACAACAAUGACGCAGGAACUAUCAGCUGAAAGUUUCAGUGUUGUAAAUUGGAUGAAGAAGAUUGGGAGCUAUGAAGAAUGUAUAUGCUUUUAUUGCAUGUAUAAAUUUCUGCUUUCAUGGGAGUUUUUGGUUUUGUUUUUUUUUUCCUUUGGGAUAAUUAUUCAAACAAAAAAAAAUGUAGUCCAAGUAUAGUAUAUAGUUGUGAUGAAAUUUUGCCAUUAUUUUUUUAAAAAAAUUGUAACGCAAUGAAAUGGAAUGUUCACAUGUUUUAAAUUACUCAGUUUGAAAUUCAAUAAUUUCCUGUA